UACAGAGUUCCUGCCCUUUAUGGGUAGAAACCCCACCCGUGUAUAUUAUAUCUUUGUUGCUUUGGCAGGCCGCCUUCGGGCACCGGCACACGCUGGAUCGUGCCUGCCAGAGGACCCCAAAUUCUGAAUGUUAGUGUCGUCUGAGUACUAUAUAAUAGUUAAAACUUUCAACAACGGAUCUCUUGGUUCUGGCAUCGAUGAAGAACGCAGCGAAAUGCGAUAAGUAAUGUGAAUUGCAGAAUUUAGUGAAUCAUCGAAUCUUUGAACGCACAUUGCGCCCCUUGGUAUUCCGAGGGGCAUGCCUGUUCGAGCGUCAUUUAAACCAAUCCAGCUUGCUGGGUUUUGGGCUUUCGCCUCUGGGCGGGCCUUAAAAUCAGUGGCGGUGCUGCCAGGCUCUAAGCGUAGUAAUUUUUCUCGCUAUAGGGUCCUGGUGGAGGCUUGCCAAUAACCCCAAAUUUUCAAAGGUUGA
rnacentral:rRNA from 1 species